rnacentral:lncRNA from 1 species
CGUGAGCCAUCAUGCCCUGCCACAGCUGCACUUUGGGCAUCUCCCUGCCCAGAACCCACCACUCUGCUGUUUCCAGGUCCCAACCACCUUUCAGGGCCUCUUCUCAUCUAAACCUUCUCUGACUACCUUGGCCUUUGUGCAUCUCCCCUUCCUCUUGACUUCUGUCCUGGCCCAGAAAAUACAGGUCAUUCUGUGCAGGCUGCCCAACUGGAUUGCCAGGCCCCAGAGGGCAGGGAUGAUGGCGAUCAGGUGAUCGAGACCAUCCUGGCCAACAUGGUGAAGUGCUGUAAUCCC